UGGGGAAUAUUGCACAAUGGGGGAAACCCUGAUGCAGCGACGCCGCGUGAGCGAUGAAGGCUUUCGAGUCGUAAAGCUCUGUCCUAUGGGAAGAUAAUGACGGUACCAUAGAAGAAAGCCCCGGCUAAUUACGUGCCAGCAGCCGCGGUAAUACGUAAGGGGCGAGCGUUGUCCGGAAUUAUUGGGCGUAAAGAGUGCGUAGGCGGCAAAUUAAGUACGGUGUGAAAACUAAGGGCUCAACCCAUAGAUUGCAUCUGAAACUGAUAUGCUUUAGUCAAGGAGAGGAAAGUGGAAUUCCUAGGGUAGCGGUGGAAUGCGUAGGUAUUAGGAGGAAAACCGGUGGCGAAGGCGACUUUCUGGACUUGAACUGACGCAGAGGCACGAAAGCGUAGGGAGCAAACAGG
rnacentral:rRNA from 1 species